GCCGCGGUGGCGGAAUUUGGAAUACGCGUUAGGCUUAGGACCUAAUGUCCGAUAAGGACUUGAGAGUUCGAGUCUCUCCCGCGGCA
rnacentral:tRNA from 1 species